AGGGUUGUUGUUCAUUAUGAUCUUCCGCUGUGGAGUUGUGUGCAAUGAAGAUAUUGUACAUAGUUCUUAGAUUUUUAUUGUUUAGGCAUUAUUGUAUAACAUGUUCCAUUGAUGUUUUUAGUUUGGACAUGUAUAUAUAUUGAUGCCAUUAGACACUUAUGUUGUGACAGUACCAAAAUUUAACACUUGUAUGAUAUUAUUCUAGAUAUA
rnacentral:lncRNA from 1 species